rnacentral:rRNA from 1 species
AUUGAACGCUGGCGGCAGGCCUAACACAUGCAAGUCGAGCGAGCGGCGGACGGGUGUGUAAUGUAUGGGGACUGCCCGAUAGAGGGGGAUAACUACUGGAAACGGUAGCUAUUACCGCAUACUAUCGGAUAACCCAUAUGGGAUUAGCUAGUAGGUGGGGUAAUGGCGAACCUAGGCGACGAUCCCUAGCUGGUCUGGGAGGGUGAUCAGCAACACUGUGACUGAGACACGGCCCAGACUCCUACGGAGGCAGCAGUGGGGAAGAUUGCACAAUGGGCGCAAGCCUGAUGCAGCCAUGCCGCGUGUAUGAAGAAGGCCCUAGGGUUGUAAAGUACUUUCAGGCGGGAGGCGUUACCGACAGAAGAAGCACCGGCUAACUCCGUGCCAGCAGCCGCGGUAAUUC